rnacentral:rRNA from 1 species
GAGCGCACUCUUCGGAGUGAGCGGCGGACGGGUUAGUAACGCGUGGGAACGUGCCCUUUUCUGCGGAAUAGCCUCUGGAAACGGAGAGUAAUACCGCAUACGCCCUUCGGGGGAAAGAUUUAUCGGAGAAGGAUCGGCCCGCGUUAGAUUAGAUAGUUGGUGGGGUAAUGGCCUACCAAGUCUACGAUCUAUAGCUGGUUUGAGAGGAUGAUCAGCAACACUGGGACUGAGACACGGCCCAGACUUCUACGGAAGGCAGCAGUGGGGAAUCUUGGACAAUGGGCGCAAGCCUGAUCCAGCCAUGCCGCGUGAGUGAUGAAGGCCUUAGGGUCGUAAAGCUCUUUCGCCAGGGAUGAUAAUGACAGUACCUGGUAAAGAAACCCCGGCUAACUCCGUGCCAGCAGCCGCGGUAAUACGGAGGGGGUUAGCGUUGUUCGGAAUUACUGGGCGUAAAGCGCACGUAGGCGGACUAAUCAGUCAGAGGUGAAAUCCCAGGGCUCAACCCUGGAACUGCCUUUGAUACUGUUAGUCUAGAGUUCGAGAGAGGUGAGUGGAAUUCCGAGUGUAGAGGUGAAAUUCGUAGAUAUUCGGAGGAACACCAGUGGCGAAGGCGGCUCACUGGCUC